UUUUUUUUUUAUAGGAGAAUGGGGUUCGAUUCCCUGCUAGGGUCAAUCCAUUUUAUCAGAAAUAUGAAACAAUUUUGUCAUUUCAGUACAACAGUAAUAAUAACAUAUACUUUAUUUUAUAUUUUAUCGUCGGAACAUAUGUUUCAAUGAAAUUAUUAUAUACAAUGACAUGCCUUUUUAACGGGAGAGAUGAAACGUGUUUUUCAGAGGGAGGGGUUUUGAAAUUAGAACAGCCAACAUGAACGUUGUGGUAUCUAGGUCAAAUAUGUCAAUUACGAAUUGUAACACAUUGUUGCCAUUGUAAAAGUAUUAGUAACAAAAUGUGUAUCAUUU
rnacentral:lncRNA from 1 species